GACGAACCGUGCGAAUGUUGUUCGGAUUCACUGGGCUUAAAGGGCGCGUAGGCGGGCGAUCAAGUCAGGGGUGAAAUCUUUCGGCUCAACCGGAAAAGGGCCUUUGAUACUGGUCGCCUCGAGGGAGGUAGGGGCAUGCGGAACUUCCGGUGGAGCGGUGAAAUGCGUAGAUAUCGGAAGGAACGCCGGUGGCGAAAGCGGCGUGCUGGACCUCUUCUGACGCUGAGGCGCGAAAGCCAGGGGAGCGGAACGGG
rnacentral:rRNA from 1 species